CUUCACCGAACCGAGCCACAGCGGCCGGUCCCGGUCACGGCCGUACGUGGCCAGCAGUGCCUGCGCCUC
rnacentral:antisense_RNA from 1 species